CGUGGGGCCGUUGGCCUGGACCGGUUGCCAGGAUGGCUCCUCUCUUCCCCUCGGCUGCCCCCGGCCGGAACCUCCCCAGAACCUAGGCCGCUUCCGGUCCAGCUCUCGGGCCCUGGCCCGUUUUCGAGGGGACAAGCUUUGCCGAUGCGGCGGUGUUUGCCGGAAGCUUCGGGGCGCCAUCCCAGCCCCUGACCCGGGACCCAGAGGGCAGAGGUCAAAGGUCCAGCAGGCCCAGGAGUGAGGCCGCAGCCCGGGACCCAGCGAGGACACGGCUGCAGUGGACGGCUCCAGUUAGGCCUGCGGCUCGAUCGUCGGUGCGGCCCACCAUGGUCCGGCCCUGAGGAACCCCGCCGGCCCCCGGACUCCUCCUCUCGCGGCCGCCGCCCCGGGAGCCCCCCGGCCCCCGAG